CCACUUUGUGGUUCAUGACUGGGGUGAAGUCGUAACAAGGUAGCGCUAGGGGAACCUGGCGCUGGAUCACCUCCUUAAACGAUGAU
rnacentral:rRNA from 2 species